AUAUAUAUAUUGUAUUUGGUGCAUGUGUUUGUAUUCUUGUUUUAAAAUCGAGAAAGUUUGAGUUUUUGUGGGUUAAUCUUAGUUGGGGUUUGGUGUGUUUGGCAAGAAAGUUUGUGGGUUUGGUUUUAAAAUCAAGGUUGUUUUCUUUCUGGGUAAGAGUGAUUUGUUGUUCAAAGAAAGAAAACCCUAAUCACUAAAGGACUUGUCUUUUUUACUCUUUGACCACAUUUUGUACUAUUGUAUUAAUUGUAUUAAUUUUGUGUCGGAAUAAAAGCUGAAAAUUUUUUAAAAUUCCAAAAAUAUCUAUACAUUGUAUAUAUAUAUGUUUGGUUGGAAUAAUUUUUAAACAAUUUUUGGUACUUUUAUUAUGUUGAUGGAGUUGAGAUUGCUUGGAUUUACUACAUGAUUUAAUGAUCUUAUUCUUAAUAUUUUUUUUGGAGUAUAUAUUUCAGGUAGCUAUGGCUGAAGACAUCUCUAUCUUUUGUUUGAUGCAAACCAAAGUUGCAUUAUGUAAUCACAGCAAUUCAAUAAAUCAUCUCAUUUCAGAAGUGGUUCGAAGUCUCCAUCUCCGGCCAAGAAAAACACUAAAAAAUCUAAGAAACCUCCGACUGUUUCAUCCAAAGUCGAAGCUAAGAUGGUGUUGAAAAAAAUUGCUAAGAAAUUAGUGGGUGAUGUUCCAGAUACAUCGGGCACUAAGAAAAGAGCCAUUCCAGUUAAGGUCGACGCUCCUAAGCCUAAGAGAGCUAAAAUUUCGAAGUCUGAACGCAAUAUUCUUAUUUUGAGGAAGAAGUGCAUGCUGAGGGACAAAAGCCUAAACUUAAAUCGAAGGAAUGGGAUUACAUUUAUGAUCAGAAGAAUCUCUUCAUUGCGAAAGCCUUUUCGACUACUACAUUCCUAGGUUAUAGAAAAUAUUAAGUCUUGCCUUUCACCUGAACAGCUUGAAAUGUUUUCCAAAACCUGUUUUGGACAUUUCCUUAAGCUUCCUGAUUUUAAAGUUCAACCGCAAGUGUUUCAUGGGUUGUUGUUGCGGGAGGUUCAGCAAGCUAAUGAUGUUGAGUUGUGGGUAAUGAUACGCGAUGUUAGGAUUAGGUUUAGCAUUGAGGAGUUUGCUUUGAUUACUGGUUUAGAUUGUUAAGGUGAUUGUAGUGUUUUAGAUUCUAAGCAAGACGUUAAUAGUCUUUGUGAGAAAUAUUGGCCAACUUCAUCCUCUAUCACUAAAGAAUCUGUUAGGGAAUGUUUUACCACCAAGAGGUGGGGUGAUUCUGAUGAGGAUGGUGUUAAGUUGGCAGUUUUGUAUUUUGUGGAAUGGUUUUUGCUUAGUGGCACUAAGCAUAAAAAUGUACCUAGGUCUAUUUUAGAUGUUGUAGAUAGUGGGAGGUACGAUGAAUUUGCUUGGGAACGAAGUUCUUUUGAACUGACUAUUUCGUCAUUGAAGGGUAAGCUUAACAGUUGGGUUGAAGGUGUUAGGAAGGCAAGGAGUUCGGGGAAGAGGCCGAGUGUUUUUUACACUUUGAUUGGUUGUCCUCAUGUUUUUCAAAUUUGGUUUUAUGAGUGUUGUAAGUACAUGAAAGGUAAGUAUUGCCAAAAGGAAAAUUCUCGUAUUCCAAGGAUUAUUCAGUGGACAUGCAACAGUCAGCCGACUUUCAAAGUUUUGAAGACUACUAUUUUUGAUGUUUCCAAAGAUAAGCUGGAACUAUCAAAUAUGAGACCCACUGCUGCUGAGUUCAAAGCUUUGAAAUUGAGCAGUUUCAAGUUUGACACUGACUACAAUUCUUACAAGAGUGUUCCUGUUCCUGAAGAGCCUUCUGCUGCUCAGAGUGACAUUUCUGUCAAGCUUGAUGCUUUUUCUGAGAAAUUUAAUGGUUUGGAGGUGAAGAUUGAUUUGCUGCAUACUUCCCAACAGAAGAUUUCUUCCGAUUUGGUUGAGUUGAAAGAGUUUUUGUCUGCACAGUUUGUUUCUUUUGGUGCUCAGAUGGCUUCAAUGCAGACACCGUUUUCUACUGUUUUUGCCGAUUCUUAUGCUAAGGGUCCACUGGCUCAACCGCCUUCAAGACGUGAUGCGUCGAGGGGAAAGCUCCGAUGCUUUCUCCACAAGGCGGUGGUGCACGGGAAGAUGAAUUGUUCUCGAAAAAGAAGAUGGACUUGAUCCCUAAAUCGCUAAAAUGGAUGGUUGUUGAAUUCCUGAACCUCAAAGAUAAACGUGAUAUAAUCACAAUUCCUGUACCCCGAGGAUUCAUAGCACCACGUACCCAAAUCACGUUAUCUGGAGAGGAUUUGCAGCAGGCCUUAGGUUGCUACGUGUGACUUCAUCGGCAACCAGGGAAUGCUGUUUGGAAUGAUGCACAUCUGGGAGAGCAUCAACGGUAUGAGAAAUUUUUUCAAGUUUUACGACCCAGAGCUUCUCGUAGUGAAUGGAAAAACCAAUGAAGAGAAGAGUCAGUCUUUUGACAAUGCGACAAGACGAUUGGCUGAUUGGUUAUC